UCUCCAUGAUGUUGUCCCGCUGCAGCAAAUGAUCAAUUUCUACUCCGCGUGGCCAAGGUCAGGUGUGAGAGAAUAACAGGCUUGCUCUUGGUGCCAUAUAGAAAUGAUUUAUUGCAUUUCUAGAAGAAGAUGCUUGACAUUUGGAAAAUGUAAUGUACUGCUGCAGUAAUUAAGCAAAAAGUAGACUGCUGAACAAUUGAUUAGUACUGUCAGUGCCGCCUGAUUAACUGAGAUGCUUGAAGAACUGAGUCUGCCACCUAUGAAUUAAGGGCAAAGGUGAUUGGAGCCUCUGACCAGCACCCUGGCAUUCCAGAGUCCAAGUUCUCUAGUCUAGCUAAUGCAGCAGGAGCAAAGAGGGGCCUUUGGGACUCCAGACCAGCAGAAACUGAGGCAAGAACUCAUCUAGCAGUGAUGCCACAUGUGGACGUGAACUUGGAACCUGGAGGACACUUGGAACUAUCAGCAGGUACCCCAGCUAAUGAGGUCGAAGAUGCUGCUUCUGCAUGGAUCACCU